AAUUUUUAAUUUUUUAAAUUAUUUUAUUAAAUUAAUUAAAAUUUUAAAAUUAGACUAUUUUGUUAAAUUGACUAAACUUUUAUCAAAUUAUUUUAAAUUUUUUCCUACAUGACUGGUAAAAAAAAUAAAAAAUGACCUGGGAUGCUGUCUACGUGGUUGAUGAUCCUCAUCAUCAAUAAAUUACCACUUGAGUUUCCUGAUUAUCCUCAUCGCCAUCUUGAUUUCCACCACCACUACUGCCGCCACCCCCCUCCACCAUCAACCACCCAAGAAAACCUAACCCACGUACAUCACUGGCUAUCAUCGCUGCCCUCUCCACCAUGGGCUUCGAACAACUCUACCUCUCCUUCGAUACCAAAAUACAAACCCUAUUCCCAAAUAUCUGUUGCCAAACCCUAAAUUCCAUCUAAUUAUCUAACUGGUCGGUGGCUUUGACCUUGUAUGGAGCUGGAGAGUGGGGAUGUUAAUUCAGCUCUUCUCCUCAUCGCCCUUUCUCUUUGGCCCACUCAUUACCACCCAUCCCCCUCCCGGCCCACCAUUUCUCCUUCUUCCUUGUCCUGCCUCUUCUGAUCUACUUAGUUCUGUUUAGUCUUACCGAUGACUACAAUGAGAACCUCCGAAAAUCUCCUCUCUGAUCUAUUAUUAUAUGCCAAGUCUGAGGGUUUAUAGAUUGUAUGGCGUUCUUGCGAGAUUAGUAGAGGGUGAUCGUGUGUGGCUUGGAUUUUGGGAGUUAUGAUCUGAGCUGGGGAUCGAUUUGGGUUCUUGUCCGGAGGUUUGGAUUUGUUCUGGUGAUGGUUUGGCAGAUGGAUCUGCUCCAGAUCUGAUAAUUUGUGUGCAUAUUGGUUAUCUUUUCAUUAUCAGAUUUUUGAUGUUUUAUUUCCUUUUUGGUUUGUUUUACAGCUAGUUCAGUUCUGGUUGGACUAGAUUUCGUCGUUCCAACCAGUUUUAUUUGGGUUAUUCUUAUUUCGUCUGACCUGGGUUUUUCCAGAUUUGUUAAGUUAAUUUUCCUGUGUUGGUUCGGUUGAUUCCUCUGAUUUUUUGCUUGAAAUCUUGGGGCUUGAAGUAUUGAUUUCCCCGUUCCGAUUCCUUCUAUUUACUGUUUUUUGUUUUUUGUUUGAAUCUUUUGGGGUGUUUUUAUCCGGUGCAUCUAUCUUCUCGGCUGUUCUGGUGGUUGGAUUUGGGAUUUUGGUCUUAUGGCCUGCUCCAGUGGAUCCAUGUGCUCUAUGUUCAAUCUGUUGUUAUUUUUCUGUUCCAAUUCCAAUCGUCUUUUGAUCUCCGGCACUCUGACGUUCCGGUUGGUUUGAGCCAGAAUGCUAAGACCUUUGGAAGAGCCAUUGGGGCCCACAAUUUUUUGUUUUAUUUUUAUUUUUGCUUAGUUAAAUUUGUCAUGUCACAUUAUUAUUAUUUUUAUCUUUUUUUUAAUGCCACGCGUAAAUUAAGUUUACGGCCAUUAUUUUAUUUUAACAAAAUAGUCUAAUUUUAAUUUUUUAAUUAGUUUAAUAAAAUAAUUUAAAAAAAUUGUGUAAAAAAUAAAAGUUGAAAAAAUCGUUAGUUUUGGCGAAUGUUAAUGUAGUAUAUAUUAAAUGAAAUGUCUGUAUAAGUCAUGUGCUCAUAACUGAGCUGGUUGAAAAGCAACUUAAAGGCAGAUGACAUGUUCCAUCUUAGAGCUUUCUCACCUCUCAAGUUAAACCACAUCUGAUCAGUCUCGAAGCUUUUACUUUUCACGCCCACGACAUUUAUACACAUAUACAUACAUUUAUCUUUAUCCAUCAGAAUAAAUCGUGCUUAUGAAUGUAAUUGGUCACUAAAUUUUGCAACAUUUAUUGUAAAAUUUGAAGAUCAAAUAAUAUAUAAUGUCAUAGAAAAU
rnacentral:lncRNA from 1 species